AUGGUUACAAAGUGAAAGUAACUUGUACAUGUUCUUUUGCAUUAACUUCUUCCCUUACUCUUCACAAUGUGCUUCUGGUUCCUUCCUUUAAACACAGCUUGAUUUCUGUUCACAAGUUGAUAAAACAAUUACACUGUAUAGUUUUGUUUACCUGAACUUCCUGUUUACUUCACAUGAUACAAGACCCUUCUCUGAAGAGGCCUCUGGAUCUUGGUAAAGAGGAAGCUGGCCUAUACAAACUGUCUUGGGUGGCAUCUUCCCCCUCUUCCUCUCCUGGUUCUUCUUUUACUUCUGUGUGUGCUUUGUCUGAUUUUUGUAAUGAUGACAAUGUGUCUGACAGCAAAAUUGUUGCCNNNNNNNNNNNNNNUUACUUCACAUGAUACAGGACCCUUCUCUGAAGAGGCCUCUGGAUCUUGGUAAAGAGGAAGCUGGCCUAUACAAACUGUCUUGGGUGCCACCUUCUCCUUCUUCCUCUCCUGGUUCCUCUUUUACUUCUGUGUGUGCUUUGUCGGAUUUUUGUAAUGAUGACAAUGCGUCUGACAGCAAAACUGUUACUUUGCCUCCAAUUGUAAAUAAUACCAUUUGUAAUAAUGUUGUUACCAAUGAUAUGAAUUACAUUUGGCAUUUAAGACUAGCACAUACUCCUUUUGCUAAUAUGAGACAUAUUUCUAGUUUGUCUUUUCCACUUGCUUCUCAACAACCUUUUCCUUGUUCUGUCUGUCCUAUGGCCAAACAGACUAGACUCCCUUUUCAUGACAGCAGUAUCAGCACUACUAGACCAUUCCAAUUAAUACAUGUGGAUACUUGGGGGCCUUACCACACUUCUACUUCUUCUGUUUAUAAAUACUUCCUUACUAUAGCUGAAGAUUUUUCUAGGGCAACCUGGAACUUAAUGGGAUCUAAAAGCAAUGCCUUUUCCCUGCUUAAGUCUUUCAUCUCUUUUGUUAAAACUCAGUUUAACACUGUGGUCCAAACUGUUAGAAGUGACAAUGCCUUAGAAUUGGGAUCCAGCAUUGAGGGCAUAUCUUUCUUUAGUAGCCAGGGGAUUAUU
rnacentral:lncRNA from 1 species